rnacentral:misc_RNA from 1 species
GAUGAAGAACGCAGCGAAAUGCGAUACGUAGUGUGAAUUGCAGAAUUCCGUGAACCAUCAAAUCUUUGAACGCAUAUUGCGCUCGAGGCUUCGGCCGAGAGCAUGUCUGCCUCGGCGUCGGUAUUACCCCUCGCUUCUCAACCCCUGGUUGAUGCCUGCCUGCCUUUGCAGUUGGCUAGAAGCGGAUCUGGCUUUCCCAAUUGCCUUUGGUAGUUGGGUCAGCUGAAGCACAGAGGCUUGAGCAAGGACCCUUAUUGGGCUUCAACUGGAUAGGUAGAACUGGUCUUAGGACCAACUACACGAAGUUGUUGCUUGUGGUCUUUGUCUGGAGGCCAGCAGGAAACCUUUAUACCUUCGACCUGAGCUCAGGCAAGAUUACCCGCUGAACUUAAGCAUAUCAAUAAGCGGAGGA